rnacentral:lncRNA from 1 species
UUCGGUUAAGAUUGAUGUGAUGCCUGUCAGGUAAACUUAUGCUGACAAAAAGUAGGCGCCUCAAUAUAAAAGUUUGGGACGAGGCAGCAACUUAUGGUACUCAUUUAAUUUCAAAAAAGGAAAAAAAAAGACAUAAUUAGUUAAUUAUGAAAAAGUUGGACAUUUCGAAGUCACUUGUGCUUAAUUGUGUAUCUAAUUUUCUUACGGUAUAAAUUUAUUUUUUUGGUACAUCGGCGACACACACCGGGUAUGAGUGUAGCCAAUUAAGUCAGAAAAAAGUAAAAAGUGCAAAUGAGACGGAAUAGAGUCGUAUCUAUCCCAAAUAAUACAUUCAGAAUGAUAAGCCAUAUAGGAAGCCAUCCAGUCCAGAGCACAGUUGGCCUCCUUGUACACAGGAGACGAGCAUGAUCCUAGAUGCUACAAGAGCAGAGUGAGAGCCCCAAAUUUUCUUAGCCAACCCAAGGGAUGACAACGCAAUGAUGUCAAGGACCUCCACCGCAUGAAAUAAGACCCUAUCUACUACCACUCUCGGGUGCACACCUCUAUCCUCAAAGACUCGGUCGUUCUUAGCCAGCCAGUAGUGGUAAGCCAGAUAAGCCGUCCUAAUCCCCUCCUCCAACCAGUCGGACCGUCGAGAGGACUCUGCUAGGAAGACCAAAAAAAUUUUGAUCGACACCCACCCCCGGCACAAAUCAGAAGAAUUUGAGGUACACUUAUAAAUCAAAGCAGCUCACUGGCAGUCGAACAGGAUAUGGAAGAUAGACUCCUCCGCCUUCUGACAAACUCUGCAGCCUGGGGCGAGACUCAUACCCCUCCGAGCCAGCACUCUCCUGGUGGGCAGAUAACCCCAGGCCACCUUUCAAACAAACAAAGCUACUCAGGAGUGGAUACACAGCCGCCAGAUCCAACCCUCCCCCUCAAUCUAUCGUGUCGCAGACUUUCUGACCAGCCCAAGAAGAUCUUGGAUCCGCACCAUUGACCUGCUAGUUUGGCCCCACAA